rnacentral:rRNA from 1 species
GGGUCAGUAGGUUGGUCGUGCCACCGGUACGUACUGGUCUCACUGAUUCCUCCUUCCUGAAGAACCGUAAUGCCAUUAAUUUGGUGCUGCGGGGAAACAGGACUGUUACUUUGAAAAAAUUAGAGUGUUUAAAGCAAGCUAACGCUUGAAUACAUUAGCAUGGUAUCAUGAAAUAGGAGGAUCGAUCCUAUUUUGUUGGUUUCUAGGAUUGACGUA